UACAGAGGUCUCAAGCGUUGUUCGGAUUCAUUGGGCGUAAAGGGUGCGUAGGCGGCGCGGUAAGUCGGGUGUGAAAUCUCGGAGCUUAACUCCGAAACUGCAUUCGAUACUGCCGUGCUUGAGGACUGGAGAGGAGACUGGAAUUUACGGUGUAGCGGUGAAAUGCGUAGAUAUCGUAAAGAAGACCAGUGGCGAAGGCGGGUCUCUGGACCGUUCCUGACGCUGAGGCACGAAGGCCAGGGGAGCAAACGGG
rnacentral:rRNA from 1 species